rnacentral:rRNA from 1 species
UACAGAGGUCUCAAGCGUUGUUCGGAUUCAUUGGGCGUAAAGGGUGCGUAGGCGGCGCGGUAAGUCGGGUGUGAAAUCUCGGGGCUUAACUCCGAAACUGCAUUCGAUACUGCCGUGCUUGAGGACUGGAGAGGAGACUGGAAUUUACGGUGUAGCGGUGAAAUGCGUAGAUAUCGUAAGGAAGACCAGUGGCGAAGGCGGGUCACUGGACCGGUACUGACGCUGAGACGCGAAAGCGUGGGGAGCGAACAGG